rnacentral:rRNA from 1 species
ACGGGUGAGUAAUAUAUCGGAACGUACCUUUGAGUGGGGGAUAACUAGUCGAAAGAUUAGCUAAUACCGCAUACGAUCUACGGAUGAAAGUGGGGGCUCGCAAGACCUCAUGCUCAUAGAGCGGCCGAUAUCCGAUUAGCUAGUUGGUGAGGUAAAGGCUCACCAAGGCAUCGAUCAGUAGCUGGUCUGAGAGGACGACCAGCCACACUGGGACUGAGACACGGCCCAGACUCCUACGGGAGGCAGCAGUGGGGAAUUUUGGACAAUGGGGGCAACCCUGAUCCAGCAAUGCCGCGUGAGUGAAGAAGGCCUUCGGGUUGUAAAGCUCUUUUGUCAGGGAAGAAACGGGAUGUUCUAAUACAGCGUCCUAAUGACGGUACCUGAAGAAUAAGCACCGGCUAACUACGUGCCAGCAGCCGCGGUAAUACGUAGGGUGCAAGCGUUAAUCGGAAUUACUGGGCGUAAAGCGUGCGCAGGCGGUUGUGUAAGACAGGUGUGAAAUCCCCGGGCUUAACCUGGGAAUGGCAUUUGUGACUGCACGGCUAGAGUGUGUCAGAGGGGGGUAGAAUUCCACGUGUAGCA